AUCAAUUAGCAUGAGUUAAUGACAUUAAUUGACGUGCUAGUAUUUAGAAAUAGUCUAGAUUAAGAUUUAGUUAGUUUUAGUUCUUGUAUGAAUAAUUAAGAUAUCUUAAUUUGCUUUAUCAUCCAAGGUUAUAGAUUCUUUUACAGAAGCUUCUGUUAUGUGAGAAUCAUCGUUUCUCUCUCCGUUUUGUUGGUCGAAAAGCGUAAGUUAGACGUCUGAAGAUAGGAAUACCGCAUCCAUAAAAUGUUUUAAUAUCAAUAGACAAUAUUCAAUGCUCCAACAGUCCAGCAAUCAAACUCUACUACCCUAGACUUUAGACAAGAAUUAAACUGCUACUGUAAUAAGUCUAAACAAUAUGAUAUUAGAUGAGAUUAUAAGUUGUUCAGAAAAAGAACACAUUUUGGCCGGAAAAUUAUCAGUGAUUGAGCGCCGAAGACUGUCUAUUACCAUAGAAUUGAUACUUAAUUCAAAAGCAAUGUUAUUCCAUGAACCAUUAACAGGAUUAGAUGUGGUAUCCAGUGCCUUAUUAUCUACCAAUUUGGAAAAAUACAAACCAAAAACUGUCUGCAACUUAUUUUCAACAAUAUUUACAAAUCAGCAAUAUGGAACCUAUUCUGGAACGGGACAACCAAUAUUAGGGACAAUGAAUAAAAAUGACUGGGCGUUUAAUUUAUUAGAGAUACAUGGAUUAGUCUAUGUAAAAUAUAUUUCAAUUAUUUAUAUUAUAUACUUACUCAAAUAUUACCAACACUGUAGAUUAUAUAAGAAAAUUUGUUUAAAGAAAAUCAAAAAAAUAGGCGUAUUAUAUAAAUUGUAAAUUACAUGGUAUGUCAGAUAAAAUAAAACUAUACAAACAUUAAAGAUAAACAAACAUAAUAAAGAAAAUUAAUUGUUUCACCCAGAAACAGUGUUGUAUUUAACUUAUUUAAUAGGAAAUAUUCUAGUUAAAAAAGGCUAAGGAUUUAAUUGAACGAUUACAUUUUUAAAAUAAUAUUUAAUAUAUUUAUUAAUUGAGUAAUAUAUUGUUAUUAAAGCCCAUGUAAUUUGCAUAUUAUAUAUUAUAUUUGUUUAUCAUACAGUUUUACUAUAUCAUAAAUAUUAUUUUUUGUAUUUCUAUGAGACUAUUGGGGUAAAAAUAUUUGUUAUUUGUAUAUACAGUGGAUCGCUAAUCAUCCUGACUAAUGAAAGUCAAGGAUAGUAAGCAUAAAUGUCCGGAUUAUUGACCAUACAUAUUUAUUAUUUAUACACCAACAAUACAUACCAAAAUACCGACGCUAAUAAUCAGCAUUCCAUAAUAAUUGUUUGGAAUAAUUUUUUUAUUUUAUAAACAUUAUACAUAUAUCUUAAAACGACAGAUAUCUAAUAUAUGAUUACAUGAAAUAGCAUAAUAUGAUUAGUUAGGUAGGUACGAGUAUUUAAAAGAUCUUAUUAUUAAUUUUGCUUGUACGUUCAAUUAAGGUUUGAUAAUCAGCAAUCAAUUCAAUAUUGGUAAUACUUUACACAGGAUAAUAUAAUAAUGUUAUACUCCAGUGUUCAGUAUAAUGGACAUUGUUUCACUCAUUUGCAUUAAAAAUAUAUCAUAAAUAAAUAAAUUAUUCACUUUUCUAUGUAUAAUAUAUUAUAAUAUAUUUUAGUUCCAAUGUAGUUGUUACAUACCUACUUGUAGUUCAACCACUGGCAUCCACUUAAUUCAUAUAAGCAUGUGGUGACAUUAAUGGAUCUACCUUAAUAUAGGUUUUUAACUUAUAAAUAUUCAUCUAUGUUAAUUAUUACAGUAGUAACAACCGUUUUAAUUUGGAAAGGCAAUGAACUGGGUUUUUUUUUAUUUUAAGUAUGUCAAAGUUUACAUACAGUAUGCUUAUUAUGAGUAUAGGUAUUAAUUACUCAAAAUUGUAACGUAAUAUAUAUAUAUAUAUAUAAUAAAUAUACACUAAACAUAACACAUAAUAGAUAUAAAAAUAAAAUAUUAAAACAAUCAUGUUAUACAUUUUUAAAUAAUGAUUAAUGAAAUUACAAAUUAUACAACAAUUAAAACAAAUUUUGAGUUAGAAUUAUACACUAUAUUACAUUAUUAUAAUUAUAUAAUAUGAUAACAUGAACGCCUAUAGCAAAUGUACUCAAUUUUAAUUAUUUUAAUUAUUAAUAUUAGACUUAAAAAAUGUUGAGAAUAUCUCAGAGAAAAUUAUUGUAAAUUAGCUAUAAGAAAUAAUCAAUUUUAAAAAUGUUAUAAAAAGAUAAAAUUAUACCAAAAUAGCCUGAACACAUUAAUAUUUUCAUGAGAUGUGAUUUUUAUAAAAUUAACUAACUACUAUUUUACUUGUGAUAUUUUUAAAUUAUGCAAAGAAUCUGAUAUAGUUGAA